CCCUAUGGGUGUAAAGCUCUGUCAGAUUGGGAAGAAAACUCUACGGGUAAUAUCCGUAGAGCUUGACGGUACCAUCAGAGGAAGCACCGGCUAACUCCGUGCCAGCAGCCGCGGUAAUACGGAGGGUGCAAGCGUUGUUCGGAUUCACUGGGUAUAAAGGGUGCGCAGGCGGCCCAAUAAGUCAGAGGUGAAAUAUGACGGCUCAACCGUCAAACGGCCCCUGAAACUGUUGGGCUUGAGUUCGAGAGAGGUAGGUGGAAUUCCAGGUGUAGCGGUGAAAUGCGUAAAUAUCUGGAGGAACACCGGUGGCGAAGGCGGCCUACUGGCUCGAUACUGACGCUCAGGCACGAAAGCAUGGGGAGCGAACGGGAUUAGAUACCCCGGUAGUCCAUGCCGUAAACGAUGGGUACUAGGUGUUGGGGGAGUCUACCCCCUCAGUGCCGCAGCUAACGCAUUAAGUACCCCACCUGGGGAGUACGAUCGCAAGGUUGAAACUCAAAGGAAUUGACGGGGGCCCGCACAAGCGGUGGAGCAUGUGGUUUAAUUCGAUGCAACGCGAAGAACCUUACCUGGGCUUGACAUGCAGGGGACAGAUAUAGAAAUAUAUCCUUCUUCGGACUCCUGUACAGGUGCUGCAUGGCUGUCGUCAGCUCGUGUCGUGAAAUGUUGGGUUAAGUCCCGCAACGAGCGCAACCCUUGUCUUUAGUUGCCAUCAGGUUAUGCUGGGGACUCUAGAGAGACUGCCGGUGACAAACCGGAGGAAGGCGGGGACGACGUCAAGUCAUCAUGGCCCUUACGCCCAGGGCUACACACGUGCUACAAUGGUCGGUACAAUGGGCUGCAAUACAGCAAUGUGGAGUGAAUCCCAAAAAGCCGGCCUCAGUUCGGAUCGGAGUCUGCAACUCGACUCCGUGAAGUUGGAAUCGCUAGUAAUCGCUUAUCAGAACGAAGCGGUGAAUACGUUCCCGGGCCUUGUACACACCGCCCGUCAAGUCAACCGAGUUGGUUGCACCCCAAGUCGCUGAGCUAACCCGUAAGGGAGGCAAGU
rnacentral:rRNA from 1 species